rnacentral:sRNA from 1 species
GGCGGAUGCAGCCUACCUCCUGGGCAGUGAGCUGCGGUCUGAGGCCCCUGCCCAGCUGGAAACCACAGGGAGGGGAAGGCAGGGGAGGAGAGGAGAGGAGAGGAACCGUCAUGGGGCCUUGGAGUCGAGUCAGGGUUGCCAAAUGCCAGAUGCUGGUCACCUGCUUCUUUAUCUUGCUGCUGGGCCUCUCUGUGGCCACCAUGGUGACUCUUACCUACUUCGGGGCCCACUUUGCUGUCAUCCGCCGAGCAUCCCUGGAGAAGAACCCGUACCAGGCUGUGCACCAAUGGGCCUUCUCUGCGGGGUUGAGCCUGGUGGGCCUCCUGACUCUGGGAGCCGUGCUGAGCGCUGUAGCCACCGUGAAGGAGGCCCAGGGCCUCAUGGCGGGGGGCUUCCUGUGCUUCUCCCUGGCGUUCUGCACACAGGUGCAGGUGGUGUUCUGGAGACUCCACAGCCCCACCCAGGUGGAGGACGCCAUGCUGGACACCUACGACCUGGUAUAUGAGCAGGCGAUGAAAGGCACGUCCCACGUCCGGCGGCAGGAGCUGGCGGCCAUCCAGGACGUGUUUCUGUGCUGUGGGAAGAGGUCUCCUUUCAGCCGUCUGGGGAGCACAGAGGCUGACCUGUGUCAGGGAGAGGAGGCGGCGAGAGAGGUGCUGUGCCCGGCCCUGGGCUGGAUGCUGGGAACCCAGAGUGAAUUAGAAGUGGCCCGGCCCAGGGGAGCCAACGUGUGGCCCAACA